UCGGCGUGCUUAACACAUGCAAGUCGAACGGAAAGGCCCUGCUUUUGUGGGGUGCUCGAGUGGCGAACGGGUGAGUAACACGUGAGUAACCUGCCCUUGACUUUGGGAUAACUUCAGGAAACUGGGGCUAAUACCGGAUAGGAGCUCCUGCUGCAUGGUGGGGGUUGGAAAGUUUCGGCGGUUGGGGAUGGACUCGCGGCUUAUCAGCUUGUUGGUGGGGUAGUGGCUUACCAAGGCUUUGACGGGUAGCCGGCCUGAGAGGGUGACCGGCCACAUUGGGACUGAGAUACGGCCCAGACUCCUACGGGAGGCAGCAGUGGGGAAUAUUGCACAAUGGGCGGAAGCCUGAUGCAGCAACGCCGCGUGCGGGAUGACGGCCUUCGGGUUGUAAACCGCUUUCGCCUGUGACGAAGCGUGAGUGACGGUAAUGGGUAAAGAAGCACCGGCUAACUACGUGCCAGCAGCCGCGGUGAUACGUAGGGUGCGAGCGUUGUCCGGAUUUAUUGGGCGUAAAGGGCUCGUAGGUGGUUGAUCGCGUCGGAAGUGUAAUCUUGGGGCUUAACCCUGAGCGUGCUUUCGAUACGGGUUGACUUGAGGAAGGUAGGGGAGAAUGGAAUUCCUGGUGGAGCGGUGGAAUGCGCAGAUAUCAGGAGGAACACCAGUGGCGAAGGCGGUUCUCUGGGCCUUUCCUGACGCUGAGGAGCGAAAGCGUGGGGAGCGAACAGGCUUAGAUACCCUGGUAGUCCACGCUGUAAACGGUGGGUACUAGGUGUGGGGUCCAUUCCACGGGUUCCGUGCCGUAGCUAACGCUUUAAGUACCCCGCCUGGGGAGUACGGCCGCAAGGCUAAAACUCAAAGGAAUUGACGGGGCCCCGCACAAGCGGCGGAGCAUGCGGAUUAAUUCGAUGCAACGCGUAGAACCUUACCUGGGUUUGACAUGGAUCGGGAGUGCUCAGAGAUGGGUGUGCCUCUUUUGGGGUCGGUUCACAGGUGGUGCAUGCCUGUCGUCAGCUCGUGUCGUGAGAUGUUGGGUUAAGUCCCGCAACGAGCGCAACCCUUGUUCACUGUUGCCAGCACGUUAUGGUGGGGACUCAGUGGAGACCGCCGGGGUCAACUCGGAGGAAGGUGGGGAUGACGUCAAGUCCUCAUGCCCCUUAUGUCCAGGGCUUCACGCAUGCUACAAUGGCUGGUACAGAGAGUGGCGAGCCUGUGAGGGUGAGCGAAUCUCGGAAAGCCGGUCUCAGUUCGGAUUGGGGUCUGCAACUCGACCUCAUGAAGUCGGAGUCGCUAGUAAUCGCAGAUCAGCAACGCUGCGGUGAAUACGUUCCCGGGGCUUGUACACACCGCCCGUCAAGUCAUGAAAGUUGGUAACACCCGAAGCCGGUGGCCUAACCGUUGUGGGGGAGCCGUCGAAGGUGGGACUGGUGAUUAGGAC
rnacentral:rRNA from 1 species